UUAGAUUUAGUUAAUUUUCAAUAACAUUAAUUUGUCAAAUUAAAAUAAUUUUUAUUAAAAUAAUCUCAU
rnacentral:tRNA from 1 species